GCGGGGAUAGCUCAGUUGGGAGAGCGUCAGACUGAAGAUCUGAGGUCGCGUGUUCAAUCCACGCUCACCGCA
rnacentral:tRNA from 3 species